rnacentral:rRNA from 1 species
GCCGGCAGCUAGCUCUCUGCAACUCUCACAUGGUCGCCCACUGAAGCAAAGCAGGGCUGCACCUGAUCAGUACCUGGAUGGGAGACUACAUGGGAAAUCUAGGUUGCUGCUGGAA